UCGGCAUUCCUGCUGAACCGCUCUUCCGAUCUUGAGAGGACCGGAGUGGACGAACCUCUGGUGUUCCGGUUGUCACGCCAGUGGCAUUGCCGGGUAGCUAUGUUCGGAAUAGAUAACCGCUGAAAGCAUCUAAGCGGGAAACUAGCCUCAAGAUGAGAUCUCACUGGAACCUUGAGUUCCCUGAAGGGCCGUCGAAGAGAUCGGAAGAGCGGUU
rnacentral:ncRNA from 1 species